UAGUAGUUAGUUUAAUUAAAACAAAUGAUUUCGACUCAUUAAACUAUGCUUAAAUACAUAACUACUAA
rnacentral:tRNA from 1 species